ensembl:lncRNA
GGGGGGACGAGCCCGCGCGCGGCGGCCGCGGGGGACGGGCGCCCGCCUCGGCCAGGCUUGUCCGAAACCAGGACUCUGUUCUAAAAGUGCUCAGAAAAAUGGAACUUGAGUCCACAGGAUGAAUCUGAAGGCCCUUUUUGUGAUACAUGGUCGUGUUUCCUCCCUCCCGGGAAGAAGUCCACAUUUUGCCACAGACCCUGAACGACUUGUGGGCCUUCUUGCUUCCGAUGUUGGAGACAAGCCUACCUCACCUGUUGGCCUUGGUUUCUGUGUCUGUAAUAAAUGGAGAUGAUUGUAUCCACCUUACAAGGUUACGGUAAGAAUUAAAUGAGAUCACCAUAUUUAGCAAGGAGGCUGCACAGACCAGGUGCUUGGUGCGUUUGUUCUUUUCGCCUUGUUUGUUGAUUCUGGAGGUCAUUCUCUAAGAAGCUGGGAUGAGCCAGCUGGAAUGGAGUUUGGAGACCAGCCUCUGGUCUCAUAGCCUGUGGCCCCUCAGUCAUCAGAUUCAGGCCAGAUGAAUGUCUAGGCAGAGAGGAUGCCCCCAGCAGCAGUCAGCCGGAGACAGCCCCCCUUCCCCAGUGCUUUCCCUUAUGCCCCCGCCUCUCUCGUCCCAGGGAUACUUGAGUUAGCAAAUUCUGUUCAAGCUGGGAGUGCCUGACCCAUCCCUGGGAGUGUGGCAAUCUAGAUUGCUGCUCCUGGCUCCUGUGGCUUAGAGCCGAACACCGUCAGCGUACCUGGACACUCCGGUCGGAUCCCAUCAGACAGGAAUCCUGAAUCAGCCUCACCUUUAAGGCCGCUGGUUGAGCACCUCCCUUGGCAGGGCCUGAGCAGGGACGAUGCUCCUUGGUUUCUAGGAGCUGAAGGGCUGGGGGAGUGGGAGACAGGGAAGGACUACAAGCCAGAGACCAGGAGGACCAUACCCAUCACCCAGUGUCCAGUGAGUGUCAUCAGGGUUUGGGAGAAAGGGGUCCUUGGCAGCUCGAGGUUCAGGUAGCCCUGGGGGACAUGGGGACUUCUGCUGGAUAAGAUUUAGGUGAAAGGGAGGGGAGGGCCAGGGGAGGUAACUUGAACAUAAUGGCUCCUUUUAAAUAAAAACAGGCCCAGUGCUUAUGAAUAUCCCACGUCCCAUGAUUUGGAGUCUGGUAUUCUUCCCACCACACCUGACUGGGAAGGGGCUAAAAGGAGAGGCGGGUACAUACAACAAUCCCAGGCUCCCGCGGCAGUGUUUUGUGGAUAUUGCCUUUUGUGCAUGGUUCCUGCCUGCUGACUUUCACGGCUCAGCCGCUUCCAGGAACCCUGGAGAGCACGGAGGGUGCACGCCUGCACCACCUCAUGGUGCUUUGCCUGCAUCUUGCCCCUUCUGAAGGGUGGCGUGGGUUGUUUCCCAAUCCCCAGCCCCUUCACAGUGGGGCUUGCACACAGAGGGGCUCAGUGGUGGUGGGUGGGCAGGUUUUAGUCUCACUGACAUUUCUCUGGGGGAGGUGAGGUUGUAAUCCAUGAGGCACACUCUCUUCAAAGGUGGGCAAACUCGGGCUCUUUAGCAGCAACAGAAAAAACGCCUCUUUCUUGGAGCUGCUCACACCCUGCUCACUGCUAAGGGGACUGUUUUGAAGAACAUAUCCCUGGGACUGAGUCCAGCCCAGAGCCCCCUCUGGUAAAUGGGGCUGGUCACAGACCCUAGGAUCAGUUCCCUUCAGUUCAGUCGCUCAGUUGUGUCCGACUCUUUGCAACCCCAUGGACCGCAGCACGCCAGGCCUCCCUGUCCAUCACCAACUCCUGGAGUUUACCCAAACUCAUUUCCAUUGAGUCGGUGAUGCCAUCCAACCAUCUCAUCCUCUGUCGUCCCCUUCUCCUCCUGCCCUCAGUCUUUCCCAGCAUCAGGGUCUCUACAAAUGAGUCAGCUCUUUGCAUCAGGGGGCCAAAGUAUUGGAGUUUCAGCUUCAGCAUCAGGGCUGAAAGGGCCUCAGAGACCAUUGAAUUUGAGAUCCAGGGGUGGGACCAGCACCGUGGUCUAACUCCCAGGCCCAGGGCUCUCUGCUCCUUAGUAGGUCUGCCCAGACCUCCGUGCCCUGGUCUCUUUCCUGUAUCUGUCACCUCCUGAGGGAGGUCAAGCUCAGGGUGGGGGUAGGGGGACAAGGAUGUGUAUGGCUGGGGAGAGCCACCUGGUCUGGCUGGCUGGCAAAGUGCAAGUUUGCUGGGAGAGAGGCUGGUCAGGUUUCACUUUGCAGGGCUGUAGAGAGCAGGGGGAGGGGACUCCCUGGCGGCCUGAAUGCCCACUCCCCCUUCUCCUGUGCUCCUCUCCCCCACCCCGGGCCAAGGGGUUCUUUGUGUACCACUACCCCCGCCUUGUAGGGAAGUGUUCAUUGUGGCCCAAGUAGAGAAAGAAUUUAGCUACUCUGCCAGGAACAGAGUCCAGCUCUGGGAGGGAGUAGGGGAGAGGUCAGUUCUGCCCCCAGAUGGGUUGGUUACUCGGAUCAGUUUCAGGUGACCGCUGACCCUUGGCGCUCUAUGUACUUGAGCGAUAUGUAGGCAGGUAAAGGAUGGGGUAAGUGUAGCUGGGGAACCCUUUUCCACCCGGUUCCCCUUGGCUCUCGGUGGUGGAGGGCUAGGACUCCCCCGCCAGUGCCAUGCGGCAUUGUCGGUGGGCGCCUGUCCAUGGUGAGCACCCCACCUGGGGCCAGGGGGCAGGUGUGAGAUCAUAUAGCUGUACAGUGGUAAAGAACUUCAGACAGCAUCUAGACCAGCACUCAUUUUACGGUGUGGAAACAGUCCCAGGGAGGUAUUUCAGGAUACGCAGCUAUAAAAGUUGCUGAAACUGAACUACGCUGUCCAGGCUCCUAGUUCAGAGCACUUUCUAGAAUUCAGGAACGGUUUGAACUUUGCAUUCAGCUGUUUUUACCUGUGCAGCCUGGGCGUGUAUUUCUCUGAAACUCCCCUUUCAUCCUUGUGAAAUAGAAUGUUAAAUACUUCGUGGGAUUGUGCAAAUGGUAUGAACUGGAGAAGAUACACCAGGUACAUGCAGACAACCUCCUGGACAGUUAGCAAGUGUCGGCCACUGUGAUUAUUUUCCGUGGCUGGGAGCCACACUGUCCCCUACCUGGAAAUGUUUACCCCAGCCUCCAUUUCCCUUCACAGCCUCCAGCACCAGGCGUGUCUGCCCAGUGACCUCUCCUCACCUGCUGGGGCCAGCACCUGGGGAGGUGUUUACAUUCCCGGCAUUCUUCUAGCCUUUGGGGGCCCCUGCAGGAGCCACGUGGGUGAGGGGGGUGGAAGCCGAGAGGAGACGCAGAGCCGGUCCCCUUGCGACCUCUGCUGCUCCGGUUGGGAAUGAGAGACCCCCUCCCACGUUUCUCCACGAGGAGGCCCAGUGCUGCAGGAGCUUGCAGGUCCUUGCUCUCACACACAAGGCUUUGGCGGUGGUGGUCUUCAUCUAAGUUUCCUCACCUGUCAAAUGGGUGCACUCACUGUAACCGUCUCAUCAAGCCAGUUGGAAGACUCAUGCUUGGAAGGGCCCCUGGCAUGUAGUAGACUUCAGUGUUAGCUGCUGUUGGUCAUUGUAGGUGAGGAAACAGGGGCUUAGGGAGGGCAGUGAACAAGGUCCCAUAGUUACAGUGAGAUGUGGAGUUGCCAGGCAAACGCAGGUCUGGCUGAUUGUCAAACCUUGGCCACCCUGGAGAACCCACUGAGUUUGGGAAUGUCUGGGUUCAGAGAGCUGCCAGUUGACUGACUGUCUCCGUGAGGAGGGCGCUGGGUCAAGGUGGUCCCGAGGGACCUUGGGUCGCCCGCUGUCUGCAGGAGGGGCGUCUGAUCUGGAGGCCCGGUGCCUGGUGUUAGGUGUGUGUCCGUUUUGACCGCCCCAUGGGGCUGCCAGGUGAUGCUGGGAGGUGUGCUAGGCCUAGGCGGGCCCAGGUGAGGGUCGGCCGCCCGCCCACCGCCGCCCCGUGGCUGCAUUGGCCGGUGGAGGUGGGUGGGCUUUGGGCCCCGGGUCCCUUCUCCUCCCCUCCCCCGGCCUCCCCGUUGCUUGUGUGUCUCAGAGCCGGGUCUGGGGCUCUCAGACAGGCAACAAAAGCGGCUUCCCUCUGUGGCGCUGCCACCUGUUGGGUUUUCACACGUCGGGAGGGAGUGGGGGGAGGGAGCCGCUGCCCUUUUCCC